GUAUAGUCACACGAAUAAUUUCACUCUAACUAUACUAUAUUUCAUUUAGAAUAGUAUGGCAAUUGAUGUUGGUUACCAACAUAAUGAAACACAACCAAAUAAACCCUAAACCCGCUACCUAAACCCAAUACCUAAACCCAAACUCUAAACACUAAACCUUAAACUCAAACUCUAAAUUCUAAACUCAAACGGUAGAUCCUUAAACCCUAAACCCAAACCGUAUACCCUAAACCCAAACCCUAAACCCAAAUUCUUAACCCAAACCCUAAACACAAAUUCUUAACCCAAACCAUAGACCCAAACGGAGCUACCUAAACCCUAAACUCCCCUAAAACCAAAUUCUAAACCCUAAACAUAAACCGUAAACCCUUAAACCAAACCCUAAACCCAAAUUCUAAACCCUAAACCCAAACCGUAAACCCUUAACCCAAACCCUAAACCCAAAUUGUAAAACCAAACCAUCACCCAUAACAGAGCUAUCUAAACCCUAACCUUGAAGGUCUAAACCCUAAACCCAAACCGUAGACCCUAAAUCCAAACCCUAAACCCAAACCUUAAACCCAAAACCUCCCUAAACCCAAACUCUAAACCCUAAACCCAAACUGUAAACCAUUAACCCAAACCCUAAACCCAAAUUGUAAAACCAAACCAUCGCCCAUAACAGAGCUACC
rnacentral:lncRNA from 1 species